CAGUCGCCGCGGUAAUACAGAGGGUGCGAGCGUUAAUCGGAUUUACUGGGCGUAAAGCGUGCGUAGGCGGCUUCUUAAGUCGGAUGUGAAAUCCCUGAGCUUAACCUGGGAACUGCAUUUGAAACUGGCAGGCUAGAGUCUUGUAGAGGGGGGUAGAAUUCCAGGUGUAGCGGUGAAAUGCGUAGAGAUCUGGAGGAAUACCGGCGGCGAAGGCGGCCCCCUGGACAAAGACUGACGCUCAGGUGCGAAAGCGUGGGGAGCAAACAGGAUUAGAUACCCGCGUAGUCCCUGUCUCUUAUAC
rnacentral:rRNA from 1 species